UGAUUGUAGAAAGGUGGUUGGUAAAUUAGCUGUUUGCUGAUAGCUGUUUGAUAUAAUUUCUUUUCUCAAAAAGCUAAUUGAAAAAGUUGCUUGGAGUAGCUUUUUG